rnacentral:rRNA from 1 species
GACGAACGCUGGCGGCGUGCUUAACACAUGCAAGUCGAACGGAAAGGCCCUGCUUUUGUGGGGUGCUCGAGUGGCGAACGGGUGAGUAACACGUGAGUAACCUGCCCUUGACUUUGGGAUAACUUCAGGAAACUGGGGCUAAUACCGGAUAGGAGCUCCUGCUGCAUGGUGGGGGAUGGAAAGAUUCGGCGGUUGGGGCUGGACUCGCGGCUUAUCCGCUUGUUGGUGGGGUAGUGGCUUACAAAGGCUGUGACGGGUAGCCGGCCUGGGAGGGUGACCGGCCACAUUGGGACUGAGGUACGGCCCAGACUCCUACGGGAGGCAGCAGUGGGGAAUAUUGCACAAUGGGCGGAAGCCUGAUGCAGCAACGCCGCGUGCGGGAUGACGGCCUUCGGGUUGUAAACCGCUUUCGCCUGUGACGAAGCGUGAGUGACGGUAAUGGGUAAAGAAGCACCGGCUAACUACGUG